CCUACGGGGGGCAGCAGUGGGGAAUAUUGCACAAUGGGCGAAAGCCUGAUGCAGCAACGCCGCGUGAGCGAUGAAGGCCUUCGGUUCGUAAAGCUCUGUCCUCAAGGAAGAUAAUGACGGUACUUGCGGAGGAAGCCCCGGCUAACUACGUGCCAGCAGCCGCGGUAAUACGUAGGGGGCUAGCGUUAUCCGGAAUUACUGGGCGUAAAGGGGGCGUAGGUGGUUGCCUAAGUCAGAGGUGAAAGGCUACGGCUCAACCGUAGUAAGCCUUUGAAACUGGGGAACUUGAGUGCAGGAGAGGAGAGUGGAAUUCCUAGUGUAGCGGUGAAAUGCGUAGAUAUUAGGAGGAACACCAGUUGCGAAGGCGGCUCUCUGGACUGUAACUGACACUGAGGCACGAAAGCGUGGGGAGCAAACAGGAUUAGAUACCCGAGUAGUC
rnacentral:rRNA from 1 species